GCGGAAGUAGUUCAGUGGUAGAACAUCACCUUGCCAAGGUGGGGGUCGCGGGUUCGAACCCCGUCGUCCGCU
rnacentral:tRNA from 1 species